rnacentral:rRNA from 1 species
GACGAACGCUGGCGGCGUGCCUAAUACAUGCAAGUAGAACGCUGAAGAGAGGAGCUUGCUCUUCUUGGAUGAGUUGCGAACGGGUGAGUAACGCGUAGGUAACCUGCCUUGUAGCGGGGGAUAACUAUUGGAAACGAUAGCUAAUACCGCAUAACAAUGGAUGACACAUGUCAUUUAUUUGAAAGGGGCAAUUGCUCCACUACAAGAUGGACCUGCGUUGUAUUAGCUAGUAGGUGAGGUAAUGGCUCACCUAGGCGACGAUACAUAGCCGACCUGAGAGGGGGAUCGGCCACACUGGGACGGAGACACGGCCCAGACUCCUACGGGAGGCAGCAGUAGGGAAUCUUCGGCAAUGGGGGCAACCCUGACCGAGCAACGCCGCGUGAGUGAAGAAGAUUGUCGGAUCGUAAAGCUCUGUUGUAAGUCAAGAACGGGUGUGAGAGUGGAAAGUUCACACUGUGACGGUAGCUGACCAGAAAGGGACGGCUAACUACGUG